UGAAAUGGCUCUGUUUCCAGUCUGAAUGUGGUUUCUGAAUGUGUAAUGUGUCACAAAGGAAUGUGCCAUCUUAUCGUUUGCCUCCUAGGCAGGGAAAUUCUUUGGCCCUUCACUGAGAGACUUAUAGAUUAAAUGUUGAUGGGAGGGAGAUAACACAGUCAUAUAAAGGAACAUCAGAAAUGAUUGAAGAAACCACUAGCUACCCAGAUAUAUCCUGCUGAACUCCUGAUUGAUCCAUUCAAAAGCAGGAUUCCGCGACUGGAGGUAGAUGAAGAUCUACCAACAUGACAUGGUUUGAGUAAAUAACCUUACACUUUUGAGAUUAUUUUCGCUUCAGCCAGUAAUCAAGCGUGAUCCCAGUUUUGAUGCGAAGCACACCGCUGUGACGAUCUAUAGUAAACUUAUUUGUACGGAUAUUCUAGAAGAAAAAGAAAGACAGAGAAAUGAAGUACAAAUACACAUGGCUUUAAGAGCUCAUUUCUUACUUUCUCACCCUCCUAGCUAGUGGGGCAGAUUCACA